CAGCAGCCGCCGCGGUAAUACGUAGGGUGCGAGCGUUAAUCGGAAUUACUGGGCGUAAAGCGUGCGCAGGCGGUUAUAUAAGACAGAUGUGAAAUCCCCGGGCUCAACCUGGGACCUGCAUUUGUGACUGUAUAGCUAGAGUACGGUAGAGGGGGAUGGAAUUCCGCGUGUAGCAGUGAAAUGCGUAGAUAUGCGGAGGAACACCGAUGGCGAAGGCAAUCCCCUGGACCUGUACUGACGCUCAUGCACGAAAGCGUGGGGAGCAAACAGGAUUAGAUACCCGCGUAGUCCCUGUCUCUUAUAA
rnacentral:rRNA from 1 species